rnacentral:rRNA from 1 species
UACAGAGGUGGCAAGCGUUGUUCGGAAUUACUGGGCGUAAAGGGCGAGUAGGCGGCUUUUUAAGUCAGACGUGAAAUCCCCCGGCUUAACCUGGGAACUGCGUCUGAUACUGGAUGGCUUGAGUAUGGGAGAGGGAUGUGGAAUUCCAGGUGUAGCGGUGAAAUGCGUAGAUAUCUGGAGGAACACCGGUGGCGAAGGCGGCAUCCUGGACCAUUACUGACGCUGAACCGCGAAAGCUAGGGGAGCAAACGGG